AGUGAACGCUGGCGGUAGGCCUAACACAUGCAAGUCGAACGGCAGCACAGUAAGAGCUUGCUCUUACGGGUGGCGAGUGGCGGACGGGUGAGGAAUACAUCGGAAUCUACUUUUUCGUGGGAGAUAACGUAGGGAAACCUACGCUAAUACCGCAUACGACCUACGGGUGAAAGCAGGGGAUCUUCGGACCUUGCGCGAUUGAAUGAGCCGAUGUCGGAUUAGCUAGUUGGCGGGGUAAAGGCCCACCAAGGCGACGAUCCGUAGCUGGUCUGAGAGGAUGAUCAGCCACACUGGAACUGAGACACGGUCCAGACUCCUACGGGAGGCAGCAGUGGGGAAUAUUGGACAAUGGGCGCAAGCCUGAUCCAGCCAUACCGCGUGGGUGAAGAAGGCCUUCGGGUUGUAAAGCCCUUUUGUUGGGAAAGAAAAGCAGCAGGUUAAUACCCCGCUGUUCUGACGGUACCCAAAGAAUAAGCACCGGCUAACUUCGUG
rnacentral:rRNA from 1 species